rnacentral:rRNA from 1 species
GAUGAACGCUGGCGGCGUGCCUAAUACAUGCAAGUCGAGCGAACAGACGAGGAGCUUGCUCCUCUGACGUUAGCGGCGGACGGGUGAGUAACACGUGGAUAACCUACCUAUAAGACUGGGAUAACUUCGGGAAACCGGAGCUAAUACCGGAUAAUAUAUUGAACCGCAUGGUUCAAUAGUGAAAGACGGUUUUGCUGUCACUUAUAGAUGGAUCCGCGCCGCAUUAGCUAGUUGGUAAGGUAACGGCUUACCAAGGCGACGAUGCGUAGCCGACCUGAGAGGGUGAUCGGCCACACUGGAACUGAGACACGGUCCAGACCCCUACGGGAGGCAGCAGUAGGGAAUCUUCCGCAAUGGGCGAAAGCCUGACGGAGCAACGCCGCGUGAGUGAUGAAGGUCUUCGGAUCGUAAAACUCUGUUAUUAGGGAAGAACAAAUGUGUAAGUAACUAUGCACGUCUUGACGGUACCUAAUCAGAAAGCCACGGCUAACUACGUGC